rnacentral:rRNA from 1 species
AUUGAACGCUGGCGGCAGGCCUAACACAUGCAAGUCGAACGAGUGGCGGACGGGUGAGUAAUGUCUGGGAAACUGCCUGAUGGAGGGGGAUAACUACUGGAAACGGUAGCUAAUACCGCAUACUAUCGGAUGUACCCAUAUGGGAUUAGCUAGUUGGUGGGGUAAAGGCUCACCAAGGCGACGAUCACUCGCUGGUCUGAGAGGAUGACCAGCCACACUGAAACUGAGACACGGCCCAGACUCCGACGGGAGGCGGCAGUGGGGAAUAUGGCACAAUGGGCGCAAGCCUGAUGCAGCCAUGCCGCGUGUAUGAAGAAGGCCUUAGGGUGGUAAAGUACUUUCAGCGGGGAGGCGGUACCCGAAGAAGAAGCCCCGGCUAACUCCGUGCCAGCCGCCGCGGUAAUAC